AUACGGAGGGUGCGAGCGUUAAUCGGAAUUACUGGGCGUAAAGCGCGCGUAGGCGGCUUGGUCAGUCGGAUGUGAAAGCCCCGGGCUUAACCUGGGAAUUGCACUCGAUACUGCCGAGCUAGAGUAUGGGAGAGGGAAGUGGAAUUUCCGGUGUAGCGGUGAAAUGCGUAGAUAUCGGAAGGAACACCAGUGGCGAAGGCGACUUCCUGGCCCAAUACUGACGCUCAGGUGCGAAAGCGUGGGUAGCGAACAGGAUUAGAAACCCCGGUAGUCC
rnacentral:rRNA from 1 species